GCUGGGUGUGGUAGUGCACACCUGUAAUCCCAGCUACUCGGGAGGUUGAGGUAGGAGAAUCGCUUGAACCCAGGAGGCGGAGGUUGCAGUGAGCCAGGAUCAUGCCACUGCACUCCAGCCUGAGCGACAGAGCGAGACUCUGUCUCUU
rnacentral:SRP_RNA from 1 species